rnacentral:rRNA from 1 species
CCCUUAGAUGUUCUGGGCCGCACGCGCGCUACACUGAUGCAUUCAACGAGUCUAAAACCUGGUCUGAUAGGGCUGGGUAAUCUUUUGAAAGUGCAUCGUGAUUGGGAUAGAUGAUUGCAAUUCUUCAUCUUCAACGAGGAAUGCCUAGUAAACGCAAGUCAUCAGCUUGCAUUGAUUACGUCCCUGCCCUUUGUACACACCGCCCGUCGCUCCUACCGAUUGAAUGCUCAGGUGAGCCAUUCGGACUUUCAUCAUGCUGGUUUCCAGUUUUGAUGAAGGAAAGUCUUGCGAACCUUAUCAUUUAGAGGAAGGAGAAGUCGUAACA